GACCUUAAGGGGAUUUUGAGUUUUGAGAUCAAAUGGCCCAUCUAGAGCACUGAGCCAGGGAGAGAACAUUCCUGUUAGCACUGAUUAGCACCCGGGCAACAAAUGUACAUUGUAGCAAAGGCCUCUGGUUCAAGAUUUGUCUCAAGGGACUGAAUUUAAGAGUGGAGGGUUUCAGUGGGGUGUAGCGGCUCACAUCCGCAAUCCCAGCUACUGUGAAGGAAGGAUAAGCACCAGGAUUUCAAAUUCGAGGCCAGCCUGGAUAACUUAGCAAGACCUGGUCUUAAAAAUGGCGGAGGGGGGGCACUUUCAGACACUGCAGCAGGCCAUUAGAAGAGAUAUCAGGGACAGGCAGAGCCCCUUAAGUUCAUCUGAAGCAGUUCCAGCUCUUCCUAAUUAUGUGGAGAUGAAAAUCUCAUUUGUCUAUCCCUUUGCCUUUUUUGGCUCCAGGGCACAGGAGAUGGGAGCAGAAACUCUUGUGCCACCCAUGGCUCCCAGGCAGUGCCCCCUGCUUGGGAGGAAGAAGAUUUGCUUGCUGGGCAAAUCCUGGCCAUCUGUGCCACUGGAAGUGCUGGCAGAAGAAUGAAGCACCCUGAAACAACAAGAAGGGGGAAUGGCCUUUCUUCCCUGGUUUUGUGAAUUAUUUAUCUUGAACCCCUAAAUAGAACUGAUAAAGCAACUGCCCUGUCCUCACAAGCCUCCCCUCUUUGGCUGAGGGCUUCCUUCAGAAAACACACUUUUCAUGCUCAGUUUGUUUUAGGCUGUUGCAGCUGCUAACAAAACACCUUAGACCAGGUAAUUGAUAAACAGCACAGCAUUUGUUGCUCCCAGUUCCAAAGGCUGGAAAAUCCAAGAACAAAGUGCCACUAGCUUAAAGGUCUUUUGAGGGGCCCCUUCUACACCUACCCACAGCUUGGAAGGGACAAAAGGAACUAACAAGCUCUCUCAAGCCUCUUGUGGGCACUAAUCCCUUUGUGAAGUGCUGUCCUCGUGACCUUCUGGUCUAAAAACAAAAGCAAAGCAACAACACUUCAAUACCAUAACCUUGAGGGUUAGAUUUCAAAAAGAAUUUUGGAAUUUCACGCAUUCAGCGCAUCCUAGACCCAUUUCUUUUACGGUUCAAAAUGAUACUUCUAGAGCACCUCGGCACCCAAAGUCUUCCUUUCUUCUCCAUCACCCUCUGUUGAACUCAAAACUGGAACUGGAAGAAAGGCAGAGGCACGGGACAGCCUACAGAAUAGUGUUAUCUGAUAUUGCACCAACCAGGAUCUCCACCAGGCCUGGACACUUAGAAGAAACAGGACAGCGUCCUGGAAAUCCUGAUCCGAUCCGCAGACUCAGGGUAGAGCUCGCGUUUGUUCCUUUUCAACAGAUUUCCAACAGCUUCUGAAAAGACAGUCUCAAAGUGGGCUAUGGGGCUCCGCUUCCAAAAGAACUUGAGAGAAGGGAGAGGCCCCUAGGUCCCAGCUGGUGGGGCAGAGCAGAGCCAUAGCCCCUCCGGAGCUGGCGCCCACUGCCUGCGUCCUCAGACUCCCUCCACAGGUGCGAGCGGGCUGGUGCAUGCCCUGCUGAGGCCCGCGCGCAGGCGGGGUGGCCAGCCUGGGGUCACACUCCAACUUCCUGCAGCCUGUUGUGGGCCCUGGACAGGUGUGGUGGAACCUCACACAGCUGUGUUCAGGAGCACUUCUGAGGUGCACAGGCUAAUGGCUGUCUCUCAGUUCGCUUUGUGUUUCUACCUGUGGCCCCCAAACCCCUGAGGUACUGUGUAGGGGAUCUCCUGCCUGGGGAGUCUGGGAGAUGAACAUUCCAGAAUGCUCAGACUCCCCUGUGGCUGCUUUUACUUUCCCAGCUUUCACUUCUCAGGAUCCUGCUCUUCCCCCUGAGAGACUCCUGGCAGAAAAGGGAGCAGCCAGUUUAUUUCUGAAAGGUAGGCCUCAGGUGAGUUGGGGUUUUCUUAAAAUUUCCUCAAAUUCUUGAACUACAGGUUGCUUUGCCUCCUUCUUUCUAGAACCUCUUUGUUCAACAAAGGGAACUGACCCCAGUUUCCUGCUCUUUGGGAGCUGAUCCGGGCAGGUGGAGGAUGGCCUUGUCAGGGCUCUCUCCUCUCCACUCUUCUGCACCAUCCCUCACUCACUUGGAUCCUUCAGGCUUCCUCUGGCUCAUUUCUCUAAUGGGCACUGUGAUGACUGACAGGUAUUACAGCAGAGGCCUGGCCACAGCAGUGGGAGAAGGCUGACACCCAGGACGCCAUACCCUUGUCUGUUUUGUUACUCAUAGUUGUUCACUUCUGUCUCUUCUGCACACAAAAUGCCUCCCUGAGGGAGAGUACUCCAAAG
rnacentral:lncRNA from 1 species